AUCCUUUUGUAGUUCAUAAGCGCGAUGACUGGGUGUUCACGGUCUUGCGUGACGUGCCUCCCUCAAAUCUUGUUACGACCUUGGCACAUUACCCAUCUGAUG